ACAAGUCUUCGCAUUUCAUUAUUUUCAAGAGGGUUUUGGAACGAUUGUUCACAUCGAAGGACAAUUUAGUUUAUUAUACAUUUUGUUCAAACAUUCGAUACAGGGCGUCGUCACAGUGACUUGUAGGUGUAACAUCAACAGCAGUUCUACCAGUGGUCUGUCAAAAGCCCCGGCUGGUCGAGGCUUCGUCCCGGUUACCUGCUUACAGGACUGUCUGGAUUGCCGGGAGUCGACCCUUCUUUUUAAAUCACCACAGAAAAUUAAACUUUUUUUAUUUUUUAUGUUGUUUUUAUUCAAAACCCUCUCUUACCUUAACCCCAACUGUAUACUGUUUGAUAUAAAUAUAACGAAUACUAAGAGGAUUUGA
rnacentral:lncRNA from 13 species